UACAGAGGGUGCAAGCGUUGUCCGGAAUCACUGGGCGUAAAGGGCGCGUAGGUGGCGCCGUAAGUCUGUGGUGAAAGCCCGGAGCUCAACUCCGGGUCUGCCGCGGAUACUGCGAGGCUUGAGUGCUGUAGAGGGGGGUAGAAUGCCGGGUGUAGCGGUGGAAUGCGUAGAGAUCCGGCAGAAGACCGGUGGCGAAGGCGGCCCCCUGGGCAGUAACUGACACUGAGGCGCGACAGCGUGGGGAGCAAACAGG
rnacentral:rRNA from 1 species